rnacentral:rRNA from 1 species
CCUACGGGUGGCAGCAGUAGGGAAUUUUGCGCAAUGCUCGAAAGCCUGACGCAGCAACGCCGCGUGAUCGAGACACCCUUCGGGGUGGAAAGGUCUUUCCGUGGGGACGAAACUUGACGGUACCCACCGAGGAAGCACCGGCUAACUCCGGGCCAGCAGCCGCGGUAAUACGGGGGGUGCAAACGUUGUCCGGAAUCAUUGGGCGUAAAGAGUUCGUAGGCGGCAUGUAAAGUCUGGUGUCAAAGCCAGAGGCUCAACUUCUGUACGGCACUUGAUACUUGCGAGCUAGAAUGCCGUAGAGGUUAAGGGAAUUCCUGGUGUAGCGGUGAAAUGCGUAGAUAUCAGGAGGAACACCGGUGGCGAAGGCGGUUUACUGGGUCGUAAUUGACGCUGAGGAACGAAAGCCAGGGUAGCAAAUGGGAUUAGAUACCCGAGUAGUC